GGGUAGAAGGCACGGAGGUCAUUGCCAAAGCCUGUGGAUAUUUCAGCUCACAAGAACUCAGCAUCAAACUUGAGAAAACACAUUGCAGUUGUGUGCUCCCAGUGGGUGAGGGAGGUUCCACUCAAGCCCUGGAUUAUUCUACACCUGGCAAAGUGGAGUCUACAGAUAGCACCUGUAUGCCUGCUGUAACUGAAUCAUGCUCACAUGUUGUUACUGGAUUUAAGGAUUGAGGACGGUCAAACUAGCAUCUGCACAUGACAUUGGCCUUACUCCUCUAAAGUUGUCAAAAUCUUCUGCACAGCUAAAACUUUUAACCCGUCUGUGAAAUGUGUGUUGUUGUUUUUUUGGCAUCUUUUCUAUCUUAACAUUUAUCAGGGUUUGCACAUAACAUAACUUCCUUACCUCCUUAAAAGAGAUAUUGAUCUAUUUUUGCAAAUUAUGUUUUUCUCUGGUAUCUAAUUUGCAGUGUUUAUCUGUAUACACAGUCUUUUGUUGUUGGCACCUUCUUUUGACAGUUAAUGACACUUUCGCAGUGGCAUUGCACUGCACAGGAAUUGUAAUAAAGACUUUAAAACAA